GACGAACGCUGGCGGCGUGCUUAACACAUGCAAGUCGAACGGUGAAGCGCCUUCCUUUUUGGUGGGUGUGGAUGAGUGGCGAACGGGCGAGUAACACGUGAGUAACCUGCCCCCUUCUUCUGGAUAACCGCAUGAAAGUGUGGCUAAUACGGGAUAUUCUGGGUCUGUCGCAUGAUGGGUCUGGGAAAGAUAUUGUUUCGGUGGGGGAUGGGCUCGCGGCCUAUCAGCUUGUUGGUGGGGUGAUGGCCUACCAAGGCGGUGACGGGUAGCCGGCCUGAGAGGGUGGACGGUCACACUGGGACUGAGACACGGCCCAGACUCCUACGGGAGGCAGCAGUGGGGAAUAUUGCACGAUGGGCGCAAGCCUGAUGCAGCGACGCCGCGUGAGGGAUGGAGGCCUUCGGGUUGUGAACCUCUUUCGCCAGUGAAGCAGGCCUGCCUCGUUUGUGGGUGGGUUGACGGUAGCUGGAUAAGAAGCGCCGGCUAACUACGUG
rnacentral:rRNA from 1 species